rnacentral:misc_RNA from 1 species
GUUAUUUAAUAUUAUUAAUAUGGAAGAUUUAAAUUACAAAAUAAGGCAUGUCUCAAUUUACUGGUCUAUUUACGGCUCUGAUUACUGGUGGAAAACUUCCAUCUGUGGCGACGCAAGCAAGUUAGCAGUAGCAGUUGUUUGUAUAUGCAGAGUUCAUAUUGCCAUAACUGCAAGUUCGGAUUCAUGCUAUAAUCUCUCUGAUUAGCUAAACCCAGUGAGCUAACCAGGUAAGCCACCUCAGUUACCAGCACUGGUCCGUUUCCCAAUUCCGGCCACGAUACCUCGGAAAACUGGAGGUCAACGGCCCGUUCCUUCUGAAAAACUUGCGAUCAUAAACGGCGCGUUUCUCUGGAUCCGAUAGAGUGGAGUACGCAGCAUGAAUUUUCAUGAACUCGUCCGCCGACGUGUCCUUCCGAUCCAAAGCGACGUCGGGAUGGCAUGUCCUCGCCAAUCGCCGGUAAGCUGACUUGAUAUCGUGGCUUGUGGCUCCCACAGGAAUCCCCAGAAUCUCGUACAGCGAUUUGCACGAUGCCAUCCGUGGAGGACUUGGGUAAAGAUUGGACCUUUCCUCAUAGGCGUUGGCGGUGUUAGCAAUAAACGGCCGCCGGAAUCUGUUCCGUUGAGGCGCAGGGUACGGAGAUUUGAUGGAAAUUUUGGGAAGAGGAGAGAGAGGGGCAGAAGAAAGCAUUGCUCGUUGCAGCGCGG